rnacentral:ncRNA from 1 species
GCCUUGGUCGGAAACCAAGGCACGGUAAAAGGAG